UGGGUGACCACGUCUGCGUGUUUUGUGCUGGAUAUUUUAUGCAACGUCAGUCUCACUUGUCCUGGUGCAGCUGGACACUCAGUAGAUCCUCUUUCUUUCUGUUGCUUCACCAUCCGGUGCUUCCUGGUAGCAGGAGCCGAAGAACAGGCUGUUACCAAGCCAGAGGUGGUUUCUGGACACAUGCACUCCGCACACAGCAUGCAGAAGUGCCUCCCAGCCUCCCCUGCAGAGGGGAGAGCUUGUUGGAGCACAGCCUUUGCCGACUCCCCGACAGAAGCGCAACGGCUGCUCCCUGGCUGGCACCUGCCAGUCAGCCGGUCUGUCCCUGCAGAGGCUGGCCAGGAGCAGAGAUAAGCAUUCUUUGGGUUUUCUAUCGUUUGCUUUUCCUCUGCCUUACAUAAGCAUCUGUGAGGUAAUUAAAUCCAUGUUUCAGCCUCUCUCUUGAGUGGCAAGCAGACACAUAUGGAGUAACACGUGUGCUACGUACCACCAGCUGCAGCUCCUGUCGCAGCUGCUAAAUCCAGCAUGUGCCAUUCUCUGCCGCUUGCACGCCGCCGGCACGCCGCUCCCCACCGCACAUGGAGCCCCAGGGACCCUCUUGAGGCUGUGGGUACACGUGCGGAGCUGCGCCUCUCCCCUUCAGCUCCUCCUGCAACUGAGAUCCCACGCUGCCGCCUCCACCGCCCUCAAAGCCUGUGCUGGCCCCACUUGCUUGGAUGCUCAAGGUACGUUCUCCUCAAGUAGGCUCCACCAAGCCGCUGACUGCUUUUGCACCCAGCUGAGGAAUGCCGGUCUGUUCCCUACCCCUCUCCCAGGCCGCCAUCCUCCCUCCCCACCUCCCUCCUUCCCUCGCUGAGCUGUGUGCCUGCAUGGCCGUGAGCCACAAAUACAAGUUUGGUCUCACUAAUUUUGUGACCCAGCAGCACAGGUAAGUUCACGCUUUGGUGAUGCUAUAUUUAAACUAUGUUCUUCCUAAAGCUGGAAUCACCUUGGUAGAGGUUCACCUGUGUGAAGUCGUCUUGGUUCUCGACACUCCACCCUGAAACUGAGGUGAUACUGUAGCACCUGAGAACAAGAUACUUUCUUCUGGUUUUGUCUUUUUUCAAUCCUUUUAACAUUGCUGACUUUCUUUAUCCUUUCUCCUGCCCUGUUUGGGACCAUGUGCCCUCAGGAGCGCUUUAUACACGUGAAGGCCGGGGAUGGAUUAACUGUUGUCAUCUACUUUAUUUAGCUGGCUGUGCCAACUGCAAAGCAGCUGGGUAGGUCCUGUCCUAAUGUACUGAAGGAAAUGGUGACUCAGGCCCAUGUUCCAGGCCUGUGUGAGAACUGCUGGGCAGGAAAAUGGAAAAGGUUGAAGAAGGGACUGAAAUCACGUCAAUUGUGCUGGGUUUAGACUUGGAAAGUAUGUGAUUGAUAGCGCUUGUGAACAUGUUUCCAUUGCAACCGGUUUCUAGCGUAGCGUGAGGUGACCUGAGAUGGCACGUGCAAGAGGAAGCCACUAGGUAAAGAAGCAUCUCCAGAAACGCCUGUCAGUGCUUUGCAAAUGAGGGUGGUUGUCUCCCCCUCUGACAAGGUGAGUGCUCUUCCCCAGGCCAGUCAUCAGGCCAGUGGUAGAGCUGCCAGAAGCUGGAGCUGCGCCCACAGCCAGCUGCUUCACCUGGGCUGGCGAGUCAUGACGUGGGGAGAGGAAGCCUGCAGCGAAACAUCUGUGGGGUAGGGCACUGUCCCUGUGUGUCACCAUUGUCUCAAGUGCCAUGGCUGUAUGACUGCCUCCAAGCAGUAAUUAUCUUCCUCAUGUUUGGUUUGUCAGAGGUAAGCCACCGUGGUUCCCUGUCUGUGAGUAUCAGUACAGACGUAAGCUGGGCAUAUAGCAAACACUGCAGGGUGUCAUCUCUCCACACUCACACAGCCAGCGUUCAAAUUUGGGAUGCUAACCUUUUAAAUUCACCAUCUGACCAAAAGGUGACCAGUUCCCAGACUCACAGGAUGCAAUAAAAGCCUCAGGAGAAAGAAGUUACGUGAUACCUCAUUGUCUUGUCUUAGUGACUUGAAGACGCAGUGACAGGAUGACAAGCAGCAAGCUGCCAUCCUCACCAUUCCUGAAAUGAAAAGGGGGUCCUUUUUAUUUUUGGAAGUCCACUGCGAAGAACUCAUGAGGAAGAAAAUGGUAGUUUGGUGAAGCAGUGUGUCUGUGCUUAAAAUACAGGUUGUUCACAAGCACUCACUGCUUGUUUCUUACCAGCGAUGCGAAACAUCAAGGGGGCCAACCCAGGCUGAAGAGGAUGAGCACAGCAGGGGGCUCGCCAUGUCAGGAGCUGGUGCGGGUUGCUUAGUGCACGCCUCCUGUCAGCGGUGCCUUUGAACAUUGGAAAGCUGGGGGAUACAGCCUCCAUGGGGAGAUGCAGCUGCUCAGUUGGAAGCGAGAGCCUCCACAGGAACAGGGAAAGCAUAGUUUCCCUAGUCUAUUAUCCCUGAAACAUGCAUCUGCCUUUAAUUAGCGGUAAGUUCUGUUGUUUCAAUUAGUUUUCACUCCAUCACUCAAGUCCGGAGGCAGGUAAUACUGGUAGUUACAUAGAAUAUCAUUAACCAUCUCCCUUAUGCAGCCAGCAGAUCUGGCUGCAGCAGCAGCUUCUUGUCCUUCCACUAUUACUUCUUGGAAACAGCAAUGCCAGGUUACACUUGGAACAGAAAUCCUUCAACCCACUGAAGGAGAAUUAAAUUUCUGUGCCCGCCCUCUAUAGCCAGGAGGGCUGGCUUCUAGCUAUUGUCAGCACUAGCACUGCAGAAUCAGUAAGAGCUGGAAGCUGAGAUGAGAAAGCCACUGAAUCCCCCUUUCUCAAAGGGAAAGAGGCAACAGGUGUCUUCCAGUAGAUCCAGCAGAGGCAAGCUGCUCAGCAGUGAGGUGCUUUGGGUUUUUUGUUUGGUUGGGUUUUUUUUCUUUUAAGAAAAACAAACCAAAAACCCCCAUAGGCACUAUAGCAGCAUUGCCAGCUAAGGUUUUGUUUUUUAAAAAAAUGACAAUUAAAAAAACCAUUAAAAAAGAAGGAUCAGUUUGAACUGUAAGUCAGUAAUGAAAAAGACCAACAUCAAAGUACAAAAGACUAACUUUGUCGGUUUGUUUUAUUACUGGGCACAGCACAGUACCACUUCAUAUACAUACAAGCCACAGUAAUACAAACAGUCCCUAUCCUUUUUUAUAAUAAAAAACCACAUGGUAUUUGGGAGGAGUCAAAUGUCCCAGGGGUCAGCUCUCAAGAGCUACUUUGCUGCAGGUUGCAGUAGCAGCAGUUUUCUUACUAAAUACUGUGGGUUUUCAUGCUGUUAAUAUGUGAAGCUGAAGAGUCUGAGCUUGCAGCAGUGCCUCAGCUUAGCAUGAUCAAGGCAGGCUUUUCAGUAGCUCAAAAGCUUGCAAGUAUGCUCAGUAAUGGUCCUUUGCAAUCAAACAAAAGCAUACCAGACACACACCCCAGUAUGGAAGUAGAACCCUCACAUGCUUCUACAGAAACCCAUGUUUAUCCUGAAGCACCAGAGGUUUAUCCAGUACAGGGCCAGUUAAAAUGCUACUGCAUCCAGACAGCUUUCCUGCAGGCAGCACAGACUUCCCAGGCAGGCAGGACCAUUUCUUACGGAGUCAGUUAAGUCUGUAGCAGCACAAGGUCAGUGAAGCUUGGAGAAAAGCUUCUGUCAUUAAAGCAGGCUUAGCUCCUCAGAAAACUGAUUUAAAACUAGAAGGCACAAAUGCAAGGUUGAAUGUGGGCUACAUACCACUGUGGCACAUGAGCAGUUUAGAUACCCCUCCUAAGGGGAAUACAAUGCAUAAUAAAUACAGUAUGACAUUUUAGAAAAUAAGUGCAUUACUGUGAUCCUUCACAACGUAAGGAAGUAGGAUUCACAAGAGCCUACAGAGGCCAGUUCACUUAAUAUUGCACAGAAUUCCUGAAAUUUAGUGUCAGGUCAUUGUGCUGGAGGUGGGACAUUACGGGGUGGGGGGGAAGAGAUCUUAUUUGGCAGAACCUGCCCAAGUCUCCACCACCACACAAACAGCUUUUUGCCAAUCUGAGGUAGAAUUACACAUAUACUGCUUAAACCCAGUCAAGUCCUGCUCAACUAGUCUUAAAAAAAAAAAAAAAAAAAAGAAAA